rnacentral:rRNA from 1 species
AUGAGUAAAGCAGAGCCAUCAUCAUCAGCCCAUCGGAGAGACCGACGACGCAUAGCUCACAUGGCCAUGGCCGCUCCAACUCCAAGCGCAUCCUGCUGCCUCGUAGGCCCCGUCCCGUUCAACGACGUUGUCGGGGCCGAAGACGACGACCGCAUCACCCCGCCCGAAGGGUACGGGCACAUCAUCUCCACCUUGCCGACCAUCGGCAUUCUAGGCCGCUUUGUGCACCACCAAUACCAGGGCGCUUGGCUGCUCCACGAGAGGAUCCCUGGGGUCCUCUCUUUCCAGCGGCGCUUCUCUCCGCGCCCCGGCGACGUGCUCCUCACAAGCCCGCCCAAGUGCGGCACCACGUGGCUGAAGGCCAUGGCCUUCGCCACCAUGGGGCGGGCCGCGUACCCGCCCACCGCCGCCGACCACCCGCUCCGCCGCCUGAACCCACACGAGUGCGUCCCCUUCAUCGACGAUCUGUUCAGCGCAGGACACGAUGCCAAGCUGGAGGCGCUGCCGUCGCCUAGACUCCUGAGCACGCACAUGCAACACUCCCUGCUGCCCGCCUCCCUUGCUGAAAACCCCAACGCAAAGAUCGUCUACAUCUGCAGGAAAGGGGUGACCGGAGACUGGGUGAAUCAUAUGACACCAGAGAUGGCGCAACGCUUAGAUGCCAUUGUGGAGGACAAGCUCUAUGGAUCAGGUCUGUCUUUCAGUUCUUGA